GACGAACGCUGGCGGCGUGCUUAACACAUGCAAGUCGAACGGAAAGGCCCUGCUUUUGUGGGGUGCUCGAGUGGCGAACGGGUGAGUAACACGUGAGUAACCUGCCCUUGACUUUGGGAUAACUUCAGGAAACUGGGCUAAUACCGGAUAGGAGCUCCUGCUGCAUGGUGGGGGUUGGAAAGUUUCGGCGGUUGGGGAUGGACUCGCGGCUUAUCAGCUUGUUGGUGGGGUAGUGGCUUACCAAGGCUUUGACGGGUAGCCGGCCUGAGAGGGUGACCGGCCACAUUGGGACUGAGAUACGGCCCAGACUCCUACGGGAGGCAGCAGUGGGGAAUAUUGCACAAUGGGCGGAAGCCUGAUGCAGCAACGCCGCGUGCGGGAUGACGGCCUUCGGGUUGUAAACCGCUUUCGCCUGUGACGAAGCGUGAGUGACGGUAAUGGGUAAAGAAGCACCGGCUAACUACGUGCCAGCAGCCGCGGUGAUACGUAGGGUGCGAGCGUUGUCCGGAUUUAUUGGGCGUAAAGGGCUCGUAGGUGGUUGAUCGCGUCGGAAGUGUAAUCUUGGGGCUUAACCCUGAGCGUGCUUUCGAUACGGGUUGACUUGAGGAAGGUAGGGGAGAAUGGAAUUCCUGGUGGAGCGGUGGAAUGCGCAGAUAUCAGGAGGAACACCAGUGGCGAAGGCGGUUCUCUGGGCCUUUCCUGACGCUGAGGAGCGAAAGCGUGGGGAGCGAACAGGCUUAGAUACCCUGGUAGUCCACGCUGUAAACGGUGGGUACUAGGUGUGGGGUCCAUUCCACGGGUUCCGUGCCGUAGCUAACGCUUUAAGUACCCCGCCUGGGGAGUACGGCCGCAAGGCUAAAACUCAAAGGAAUUGACGGGGCCCCGCACAAGCGGCGGAGCAUGCGGAUUAAUUCGAUGCAACGCGUAGAACCUUACCUGGGUUUGACAUGGAUCGGGAGUGCUCAGAGAUGGGUGUGCCUCUUUUGGGGUCGGUUCACAGGUGGUGCAUGCCUGUCGUCAGCUCGUGUCGUGAGAUGUUGGGUUAAGUCCCGCAACGAGCGCAACCCUUGUUCACUGUUGCCAGCACGUUAUGGUGGGGACUCAGUGGAGACCGCCGGGGUCAACUCGGAGGAAGGUGGGGAUGACGUCAAGUCCUCAUGCCCCUUAUGUCCAGGGCUUCACGCAUGCUACAAUGGCUGGUACAGAGAGUGGCGAGCCUGUGAGGGUGAGCGAAUCUCGGAAAGCCGGUCUCAGUUCGGAUUGGGGUCAGCAACUCGACCUCAUGAAGUCGGAGUCGCUAGUAAUCGCAGAUCAGCAACGCUGCGGUGAAUACGUUCCCGGG
rnacentral:rRNA from 1 species